rnacentral:snoRNA from 22 species
UAAGGUUGCCUGUGUACCUCAUGCGUCUCUUUGUGGUGUUGUGGGGAAUGAAGGCGACCGAG